CUAAAUUUUCAUCCUAAAAUUAAAUUCUUUUAUCUGACAAGAAAACAACAGAAUUUGAUAAGCAAUACACUUCAUCUCCUGGUCUUACAUUAAGAUCAACAAAGACUAGAGCAGUCGCAGUUGCAUAGUUUCAGGGGAAAUGGCAAAACAGUUGAACAUCAGUUAACAUUGCAUAUAUAUUCAGUUCUCCUCACGGGCUUGUCUUUAUAAGUAGCUAGCAACCUUCUUGUUUACCAGGCCUGGAAAAUCAGACCAACCACCAAACCAAUCUAUCAGUGGCACAAGAGACAUCCAUGAUUCAUCUCGAUCAGGAGUGGGCAAACAACAACCAAGCAGAUUAGCAGAGUACUUGAUGAGAGUAGACGCUGUAAAAUGCCGUUCGGCUUCCUUGCUGAACUUAAUAUCGGCAUUGUUGUUCCCAAACUGCUUGAUUAGGGAUUAUUUUUUCGUCUCCACAAGCUCUUAGACCAGAUUAUCCGAAAUCAUCGCCAUUUAUCCUACCUAACCUAAAAAUAUCAUAUCAACCAAUGAAUUUGAAGCCUGGAAGAAAAAGGAAACACAGUAUAUAAUAAGUGUAAGUAUUCUGGAGUUUCUAUCUCAGCAUAACCGAGAGCUUCUGCAUAACGGCGACAUAUCAGGCUCUUUCUGGUGACCGCCCUGAACUGUAUGUCGGACGACGACGGCGGCGUUCAGAGUUAUGAUGACCGUGAUGGACCGCAAACCGUCUUGGGUGACAUGAGGAGAAGGUGCGCCUGCGGCCAGAAGCAAAUAAGUAAGUCGAUGGCCGUGCCUCAGCAGCGCGGACCCACGACGCGUCAGAACCAUGACCUCAUCUUCCACUGUCGGCAAUUAGGCCAGCGCCGCCAUUGUCUGCUCCUCCCUCUCUCUCCCACCUCUCUCUUUCUCUCUCCCUCUCUUUCACGGCGGGCGCAAGGGACGGGAGAUAUGCCUCACCUAGAUCCGCGCGCGGCAACGGAUGGAGAGGAGGCGGGGCGACGAGCACAGCCGCCGGCGGCGGCAACUUUUCAUGGAGAGAGAUGGGAUCGGGAGCGAGUUGGGGAGAGAGAGGAGAAACGGAGACGUGUGUGUGCGUGUGUAGCGACAGUUUUCUCUCUGUGUGUGUGUUUGGUCGUGGAUGGGGCCACGUUGUACCGAUCCACACGGGGUGGGCUGCUUUUCUUAGGGCAUGUACAAUGGUUGAUAAGACAGUCUUAUCUUAAGUCUUGCAUGUUAUUUAGAGAUAACAAAAAAGUAUGUCUACAAUGAGUUAUAUCUUAGCCUUAUCUUCAAUAACUAGUCAUUCCUUAAAACAUGGUGAGACAAAUUGUACUAAGAGGUCAUCUCUUGUCUUCUCUUAAAUAAGAGAAGACAAGCCUUUUCUUGUGAGUUGUCUCUCCUCCACCUCAUCAUUUACCCUAUGUGGCACUCCUAAGAUAGCACCAUUGUACAUGCCCUUACCGGCGCGUGGAAGGGAGAGUGCCGAUCGUACAUGGGAAACAGCAGGUGGAACCAUCACGACGUUCGAUUCUGCUUUAAAACAGCAGGUGAAAUACAAAGCCCACCAAGCUUAGCCCAUUUUCCAUGUGAAAAUUUCAUGUGAAGCAGAAAACUACAGCAUAUGAAACAACACACGAAUCUGAGGUUACCACCUUAGACCAUCUAGUAUUCCUUAGAAUAUUGUACUGGAAAUUGUUGUCUAAAUAUUGAUCACUGCAUGAUCCAAACCUUUGCCUACAAUGCUAUUAUAAAACAUAGUAUAUAUGUGAUUUUUUACAAAGAGAUAACUAUAGUUAACAGGGACAUGACAAGAGGAUAACAGCCGACAUUUGUUCUUACCAGCACAAGAAAAAAAAGGCAAAAGGCAAGGCAAGCUUUUAACCUCGCUGGGUUAGCGAUUGAGUAGGGUAGUCAGAAUACAAUAUAUAGAAAAGUGCACUGAUGUUAAGUUUUCAUCAUCGCCUCUAGGGUAGUUUAAAAGUUCAAAAAUAUAGAGCCAUUGACUGUACUACACAGAGUGAUGGUCCACAGGUUGCAAACGGAAAGGAAGUAUAUACUGAGAAGUUCCUACAUAAAGGAAAAGUUUGCAGGAAAUAGCAAACAUGUGAGAGGAGUUUAUCCACUUAUGUUGUGGUGCAUAAAUUAUUAUCCAAUCAAAAUUGCUUCGGUGUCUAGUUUGAGUGGUACCACUACCAAGUAGUUCUCUUUAAGCAUGCAACCAAAAGUAUCUCAUCCCUUUCAUAGUUGUACUAUAACAUUAAAGGAUCAUGAUUUAGUGGCUUGACCGCUUGAUUCGUUAAAUGCUAAAUUUUCAUCCUAAAAUUAAAUUCUUUCAUCUGAUAAGAAAACAACAAAAUUUGAUAAGCAAUACACUUCAUCUCCUGGUCUUACAUUCAGGGGCGGAGCCAGGAUUUGACCAUAGUUGGGCGAAGAAGACAAUGAACAUUUUUUUUCAUAUAAUUAAUGACCAUACAAAGAGAAACACAUGAUUAAUUUGUAUGUUGCAACUAUAAAAAUGUAGUUUUUUCAUUAGUUUAAUGUGGCUCUUAUGGGUAAAACCCAUAGAACAAAGUCGACAAUCUUAUAGGGUGCGCUUUCGAUUCUAGCUGGUUGUGUAAAUUUUACUUGAGCCUGAAUAUUUGAUCGGUAGUUUGUACAUCAACUAAUCGGCCUGAAAAACAGAAACUAGCAUCUAGCAGUUUGUUAAUAAUAAAAAGCUGCAAUAGGCUAGACAUGAGCCUCUAGCCGAUGAUACACCUAGCUCUUAUAUCUGGCGUGAGCCAGUGAAAUUUGAAACUUAGAUGAUAGAAUCAUAAUGAGCGAAUGCCUAAUUUAGUGUACCAUUUUUUAGAAGAAAACAAGAAAUUGACGCCCUUAAUUAACUUCAUCUGAACAAGAAGUUUCUGGCCUUCUCGAGCCAGAUGCGGAUCAAUUCAUUAGUAUUGUUGCACAGUAUAUAAAUCAAUCAAGGAAUCAAGGAACUCACCGCAGGAGUAUGCUGUCGUCGCUGCCGGCGCUGAUCGGUUGUGCGGAUGCCCUAGUUGAACUUGCAGCCACGCGUAUUGCGUCUGAGCCGAAACAAUCGAUAGAGGAUGCCCUGGUGGCCUCGUCAGCUUCCGAAACUACCUGGUAGUUUGUUUGUUUCGUGUAGUGUGGGCUGACUAGCUAGUACAUGGGCUUUAACAUGCAAAGUUCCUGGGCUUCAAGCCUUAAGCGCACACUUAGGGGGGGCCAAUUAAUCCUAAAUCUGUCUGACGUAGCACCUAAUCUACCUGACGUAGCCUACGCAACUUAGGUACGACGCAGCGGUUGGGGGGGGGGAGGCGUGGCCCCCGCUCGUCCCCCCUUAGCUCCGCCCCUGCUUACAUUAAGAUCAACAAAGACUGGAGCAGUCGCAGUUGCAUAGUUUCAGGGGAAAUGGCAAAACAGUUGAACAUGAGUUAACAUUACAUAUAUAUAUCUAGUUCUCCUGACGGGCUUGUCUUUAUAAGCAGCUAGCAACCUUCUUGUUUACCAGGCCUGAAAAAUCAGACCAACCACCAAACCAAUCUAUUAGUGGCACAAGAGACAUCCAUGAUUCAUCUCGAUCAGGAGAGGGC
rnacentral:lncRNA from 1 species